rnacentral:rRNA from 1 species
AGUGAACGCUGGCGGUAGGCCUAACACAUGCAAGUCGAACGGCAGCACACUAAGAGCUUGCUCUUACGGGUGGCGAGUGGCGGACGGGUGAGGAAUACAUCGGAAUCUACUUUUUCGUGGGGGUUAACGUAGGGAAACUUACUCUCAUACCGCAUACGACCUACGGGUGAAAGCAGGGGAUCUUCGGACCUUGCGCGAUUGAAUGAGCCGAUGUCGGAUUAGCUAGUUGGCGGGGUAAAGGCCCACCAAGGCGACGAUCCGUAGCUGGUCUGAGAGGAUGAUCAGCCACACUGGAACUGAGACACGGUCCAGACUCCUACGGGAGGCAGCAGUGGGGAAUAUUGGACAAUGGGCGCAAGCCUGAUCCAGCCAUACCGCGUGGGUGAAGAAGGCCUUCGGGUUGUAAAGCCCUUUUGUUGGGAAAGAAAAGCAGCAGGUUAAUACCCCGCUGUUCUGACGGUACCCAAAGAAGAAGCACCGGCUAACUUCGUG